CUCUAAUUAUCCUGGCAGCACACACAGCCCCUGCUUCUGCUGAUGGCUGCAGGGAACCACUGGGAAGGCAGCAGGAGAUUAGGGAGAGGCUGUGGGCAGAAGGAGUGGGAUGCAGGACCCAGCCCAGGAGGUCAAGCCUAAAAUCAAGGGAAAAGGGACUGGAGUCAUGCUGGGAACAGGAGGGAUGCCCUGGCUGUGCUACAACCUGCCUGGAGGUCCUGAUUGCUCACUAAAGGGUGGAACAACAUGGACCUCCAAAACACCCAGGGGCACAUGUAUUGUGGAGCACUGGGAGAAACAGCCAGGAUCCUCCCUUGGGCAAUUGUCUUCUGACAGUGAGUAUCACCAAGCCUGGAAAGACCAAGCUCCAACCUUUUUGGUGAGGUGAGGACACCUCAAAUGACCCAUCUGCCACUUGAACAUCACCAGCCCCACAGUGGCCAAUAUCAAACAUCAUUUCUACAUUUCAAUGUAAUGGAAGGGCUGAUGCAC
rnacentral:lncRNA from 1 species